CCCAAAGUGUAAACACAAAGAAACACAAUUAAAAACCUCUUCUAACUUUUCUGGCAUAUUCUGCAGCAUCUAGAAUUAACCCAUGCUUAACCAACCCCUAGCACUGUAAGGGUUAAAUGAUCAUCAGUUCUUGUUUUCUUUCUAAGAAAGCGUGCCAAUACAUAUUUGACAGCAAGUAUUCCCUCCCCUGGAUUUGAGAUGGUGAGAAAACAAAUUAUA